rnacentral:rRNA from 1 species
UACGUAGGCAGCGAGCGUUGUUCGGAGUUACUGGGCGUAAAGGGUGUGUAGGCGGUUUUCUAAGUUUGGUGUGAAAAUCGUCCCGGCUCAACCGGGAGGGUGCGCCGAAAAACUGGGGAGACUAGAGUGCGGGAUGGGAGAGUAGAAUUCCUGGUGUAGCGGUGAAAUGCGUAGAUAUCAGGAGGAAUACCGGUGGUGUAGACGGCUCUCUGGACCGCCACUGACGCUGAGACACGAAAGCGUGGGUAGCAAACAGG